GAAAAUACAAUGAUGAAGAGGAGUACAUAGAAAUGCUAUCUCCAGAGAGGGGGGUUCCUGGGCUGAAAGACCUCCGGUAGAUAUCUAUGGAAGCAGCUUCGGAGUACUAAUCUUGAAACUUUAGUAGAGAUUGGCGGUGUUGCAGCCGUUAUCCUGCAGGGUAUUUACGAAAGGAGAGACCAAAUUUUUUGGUAAGUAGGGUGGUACCGCGAGAAUGCUCUCGUCCCUAUA
rnacentral:ncRNA from 1 species